CAGCAGCCGCGGGAAUACGGAGGGUGCAAGCGUUAAUCGGAAUUACUGGGCGUAAAGCGUGCGUAGGCGGUUGUUUAAGUCUGUCGUGAGAGCCCUGGGCUCAACCUGGGAAUUGCGAUGGAUACUGGGCGACUAGAGUGCGGUAGAGGAUAGUGGAAUUUCCGGUGUAGCAGUGAAAUGCGUAGAGAUCGGAAGGAACAUCUGUGGCGAAGGCGACUAUCUGGGCCAACACUGACACUGAGACACGAAAGCGUGGGGAGCAAACAGGAUUAGAUACCCGUGUAGUCCCUGUCUCUUAUAC
rnacentral:rRNA from 1 species